rnacentral:rRNA from 1 species
GAUGAACGCUGGCGGCGUGCCUAAUACAUGCAAGUCGAGCGAACGGACGAGAAGCUUGCUUCUCUGAUGUUAGCGGCGGACGGGUGAGUAACACGUGGAUAACCUACCUAUAAGACUGGGAUAACUUCGGGAAACCGGAGCUAAUACCGGAUAAUAUUUUGAACCGCAUGGUUCAAAAGUGAAAGACGGUCUUGCUGUCACUUAUAGAUGGAUCCGCGCUGCAUUAGCUAGUUGGUAAGGUAACGGCUUACCAAGGCAACGAUGCAUAGCCGACCUGAGAGGGUGAGCGGCCACACUGGAACUGCGACACGGUCCAGACUCCUACGGGAGGCAGCAGUAGGGAAUCUUCCGCAAUGGGCGAAAGCCUGACGGAGCAACGCCGCGUGAGUGAUGAAGGUCUUCGGAUCGUAAAACUCUGUUAUUAGGGAAGAACAUAUGUGUAAGUAACUGUGCCCAUCUUGACGGUACCUAAUCAGAAAGCCACGGCUAACUACGUG